GAGGGUAUAUCUCAAGUGGCAGAGAGUGCAUGCUUAGCACGCACAAGGACCUGGGUUCAAUCCCCAGUAUCUCCU
rnacentral:tRNA from 1 species